rnacentral:snRNA from 1 species
GUGCUCACUUCGGCAGCACACGUGCUAAAAUUGGAAUGAUACAGAGAUGAUUAGCAUGGCCCCUGCAUAAGGAUGACAUGCAAAUUCAUGAAGCAUUCCCUAUUUUU